CCUACGGGGGGCAGCAGUGAGGAAUAUUGGUCAAUGGGCUUACGCCUGAACCAGCCAAGUCGCGUGAGGGAAGACUGCCCUAUGGGUUGUAAACCUCUUUUGUCAGGGAGCAAUUGGCGCUACGUGUAGCGUUAUCGAGAGUACCUGAAGAAAAAGCAUCGGCUAACUCCGUGCCAGCAGCCGCGGUAAUACGGAGGAUGCGAGCGUUAUCCGGAUUUAUUGGGUUUAAAGGGUGCGUAGGCGGAAUGCCAAGUCAGCGGGAAAAUCGCGGGGCUCAACCUCGCUCCGCCGUUGAUACUGGCGUUCUUGAGUGGGCGAGAAGUAUGCGGAAUGCGUGGUGUAGCGGUGAAAUGCAUAGAUAUCACGCAGAACUCCGAUUGAGAAGGCAGCAUACCGGCGCCCAACUGACGCUGAAGCACGAAAGCGUGGGUAUCGAACAGGAUUAGAUACCCCAGUAGUC
rnacentral:rRNA from 1 species